UACGUAGGAGGCAAGCGUUGUCCGGAGUACUGGGCGUAAAGCGCACGCAGGCGGUCUUGUCAGUCUGUAGGGACAGGGCACAGCUCAACUGUGUCAGGCUUAUGGAAACUGCAAGACUUGAGGGCUUCAGAGGGAUGGGGAAUUCCGGGUGGAGUGGUGAAAUGCGCAGAGUAUCAGGAAGAACACCAAUGGCGAAAGCAGCGUCUCUGGGACGGUACUGACGCUGAGACGCGAAAGCGUGGGGAGCGAACAGG
rnacentral:rRNA from 1 species